rnacentral:rRNA from 1 species
GAUGAACGCUGGCGGCGUGCCUAAUACAUGCAAGUCGAGCGAACAGACGAGGAGCUUGCUCCUCUGACGUUAGCGGCGGACGGGUGAGUAACACGUGGAUAACCUACCUAUUAGACUGGGAUAACUUCGGGAAACCGGAGCUAAUACCGGAUAACAUGUUGAACCGCAUGGUUCAACAGUGAAAGACGGUCUUGCUGUCACUUAUAGAUGGAUCCGCGCCGCAUUAGCUAGUUGGUAAGGUAACGGCUUACCAAGGCAACGAUGCGUAGCGGACCUGAGAGGGAGAGCGGCCACACUGGAACUGAGACACGGUCCAGACUCCUACGGGAGGCAGCAGUAGGGAAUCUUCCGCAAUGGGCGAAAGCCUGACGGAGCAACGCCGCGUGAGUGAAGAAGGUCUUCGGAUCGUAAAACUCUGUUAUUAGGGAAGAACAAAUGUGUAAGUAACUAUGCACGUCUUGACGGUACCUAAUCAGAAAGCCACGGCUAACUACGUG